GGCGAUGUAGCUCAGCCGGUUAGAGCACACGACUCAUAAUCGUGGGGUCGACGGUUCAAGUCCGUCCAUCGCUACCA
rnacentral:tRNA from 1 species